rnacentral:snRNA from 1 species
AGCUUUGCGCUGUGGCAGUAUCGUAGCCAAUGAUGUUUAUCCGAGGCGCGAUUAUUGCUAAUUAUAAAAUGGGUAUAAUAAUGUACAACACUGUGAUAAUAGUGUGUAUCAUUGGCACAGUGCCUGGCAU